UACGAACUGUGCGAACGUUAUUCGGAAUCACUGGGCUUACAGGGUGCGUAGGCGGCCUGUUAAGUAGGGUGUGAAAGCCCCCGGCUCAACCGGGGAAUGGCGCCCUAAACUGGCGGGCUGGAGUGAGAUAGGGGUGUGUGGAACUUCCGGUGGAGCGGUGAAAUGUGUUGAUAUCGGAAGGAACGCCGGUGGCGAAGGCGACACACUGGAUCUUGUCUGACGCUGAGGCACGAAAGCCAGGGGAG
rnacentral:rRNA from 1 species